rnacentral:rRNA from 1 species
GUAGGUGGCAAGCGUUGUCCGGAAUUAUUGGGGCGUAAAGUGCGCGCAGGCGGUUCUUUAAGUCUGAUGUGAAAGCCCACGGGCUCAACCGUGGAGGGUCAUUGGAAACUGGAGAACUUGAGUACAGAAGAGGAAAGCGGAAUUCCACGUGUAGCGGUGAAAUGCGUAGAGAUGUGGAGGAACACCAGUGGCGAAGGCGGCUUUCUGGUCUGUAACUGACGCUGAGGCGCGAAAGCGUGGGGAGCAAACAGGAUUAGAUACCCUGGUAGUCCACGCCGUAAACGAUGAGUGCUAAGUGUUAGGGGGUUUCCGCCCCCUAGUGCUGCAGCUAACGCAUUAAGCACUCCGCCUGGGGAGUACGGCCGCAAAGGCUGA